CUCUCUCUCUCUCUCGCCCUAGAACUGGAACCGACGAGCUCGACGAGGUCUGCACCGCAACCUACCGCCGACACCAACGAGCUCCUCUGCCGACGUGACGAGCUCCGCGCACCGGAACCUUCCACCGAGGCCGACGAGCUCCUCCUUUACGUCGAACAGCUCCUCCUUCACCAAAUAAACUGUAACACCAGCUCCUCCUUUACCCAGACACAACAGAUCAAUUUCUUUACGAAUCUAUAAGCACUAGUGGCCAAUCCUCCUGGAUAAUCUUCAUGUUUAGUAAAUAGAUGGAUAUCUUUCUCUUAGACAUCGAUACAAUCCUCCAGAAUGCCAGUUGUCUUCUCUGCUUGUCACAGAGUACUCAAGGAGGUUUGUAGAAGGUUGCCGGGUUUUUCACCCGCUGAAGUGUUGGAUUUUGGUGCUCGCAUGGGUUUGGCUUUCU